CUACUACAUAACAACCGGAUAGCUUUGCCAAUUGCCCGACGACAUUACCGACAGAUCCAGAAGCUGCAGACACAAACACGUCCUCUCCUUUUUUAGGUUUACAGAUGUUGCAGAAACCGAUGUACGCCUACGUACCUAGAAUUCCUAAAUGGUAUGACAAUGGGAAUUCCAUGGAAUUGAUCUUCUUUAACCAGCUUCCGCCUCUCACGACACUGUACUCCUCCCACCCCAGUACCCCAGCAACGAUAUCGCCUUCAGUGAAUUCUGAAUUGUCCGUCGCAACAACUCUACCGAUCGCAAGGGCGCCAAUCACCUGUCAACCAAUAAGUACAUAAGUAAUACUGAGUUUAGCUGAGCCCACAUCCAUCGAUGUGCAACACCCAUCAGGUGGGCCCCACUUGUGGGUGCCUAGGUGGCCUGAUGGGAAUAUGGGUCGGUUGGCUCAUUAGAUUUCGUAUAUUUUGA